rnacentral:rRNA from 1 species
GAUGAACGCUAGCGACAAGGCUUAACACAUGCAAGUCGGAGGGGCAGCAUAGAAGUAGCAAUACUUUGGUGGCGACCGGCGCGACGGGUGAGUAACGCGUAUGCAACCUACCUAUCAGAGGGAACUAACCCGGCGAAAGUCGGACUAAUACCGCAUAAAACAGGGGCACCGCAUGGUGAUAUUUGUUAAAGAAUUUCGCUGAUAGAUGGGCAUGCGUUCCAUUAGGUAGUUGGUGAGGUAACGGCUCACCAAGCCGACGAUGGAUAGGGGAACUGAGAGGUUGGUCCCCCACACUGGUACUGAGACACGGACCAGACUCCUACGGGAGGCAGCAGUGAGGAAUAUUGGUCAAUGGGCGGGAGCCUGAACCAGCCAAGUCGCGUGAAGGAAGAAGGAUCUAUGGUUCGUAAACUUCUUUUGCAGGGGAAUAAAGUGCAGGACGUGUCCUGUUUUGUAUGUACCCUGAGAAUAAGGAUCGGCUAACUCCGUG